UACAGAGGUCUCAAGCGUUGUUCGGAUUCAUUGGGCGUAAAGGGUGCGUAGGCGGCGCGGUAAGUCGGGUGUGAAAUCUCGGAGCUUAACUCCGAAACUGCAUUCGAUACUGCCGUGCUUAAGGACUGGAGAGGAGACUGGAAUUUACGGUGUAGCGGUGAAAUGCGUAGAUAUCGUAAGGAAGACCAGUGGCGAAGGCGGGUCUCUGGACAGUUCCUGACGCUGAGGCACGAAGGUCAGGGGAGCAAACGGG
rnacentral:rRNA from 1 species